AAAGGUCACUGGGCCUUUUGGCUAAGGUCAAGUGUAGUAUCUGUUCUUAUCAAUUUAAUGUCUGAUACGUCUUCUAGUGAAAAAGGGCAACUACU
ensembl:snRNA U2 U2 spliceosomal RNA